CUCAUUGGCUCACCGUAGUUGAGAAGCAUGUGUUCUAUCUUCAUCCAUGUCUGCGCUCUACAACGCCUGCCUCUCAUGUCUUCGCCAACCAGGUGGCUCCUCUCCACGAGCUACGUCAUCUGGUUUGUUUCUGCCACAGAUCAAAGCCUGGGUGGCAUUUUUACAAGUGCGAACUUUGCAUGGAGAAUGCAGGUUCUGGCUGUGGGAAUGAACAGGAAGUAGAACCUUCUCGUGGCUUACGAACUUUUUCAUCAUGUGCAUCGUGGCCAUCGCCCUGUUCUUUGUCCACAGCAACUAAAGCUCAACCCCACUGCAAAAAGAUGGUCGCCAUCGUCAUUUUUUAGCACUGAACCCAUUAGAUGGUCUGAUAUCUAGUACUAGUAUUUAUUUCAUGCACCA